rnacentral:rRNA from 1 species
GACAGAGGUCCCGAGCGUUAGGCGGAAUCACUGGGCUUAAAGCGUGUGUAGGCGGACUUGUAAGUACCUUGUGAAAUCCCACAGCUUAACUGUGGAACUGCUUGGUAUACUGCUUAUCUUGGGCCACUUAGGGGUUACCGGAACAAACGGUGGAGCGGUGAAAUGCGUAGAUAUCGUUUGGAACGCCAAUGGUGAAAACAGGUAACUGGGAGUGUGCCGACGCUGAGACACGAAAGCCAGGGGAGCGAACGGG